GAGGGUAGAGUUCAGUGGUAGGGCACCUGCUUAGUAUGCACAAGGUCCUGGGUUCAAUUCCCAGUGCCUCCG
rnacentral:tRNA from 1 species